AGGACAAACCCCUGGGGGGUAAGGGAGAGGCAGGGAGCCUGCAUUUAGACUUCCUCUCAGCUUGCAAGAUGCAUCACACAUGAAGAGGGCUUGGGGCUACCUGUAUACAGUCCUUUGCAGAUAAAGAGAAAAAUUUGCUUCAUGUGGAUACUCCAUGGAUUAAGGAGCAAGCCUCCAAGAGAUCUCACAGUGUCUCUCCACGGAGAAGGAGUGGUCUCCCGAGUGUGUGCAUUCAGUGGGGUCGCACCCCGGAAUCCUGCAUAGAGCCUGUCUGGUCGGCUACCUUCUCCAAAGACUAGAACAGCAACAGCAAACCAGUCCCUGCCCCAAACUGUGCCGGCCUCCUUUGUCACGGACCCUGGGGGCAGACAGCUAUGAACUCACCAGAGGAUCAACCCAUUUGAUGAAGUUAGUGCCCUCACUGUUCCAUCGUGUCAAGUUGAAUAUCAAGAUUAACCAGCACACAGGUUAUCUGUAUCUUCACAUGUAAUCCUAUUGGCAAAUUGCUCCCCUAAGUGGGAAUUGGAGGAACUCCAUCUCCCUGCUGUUCUUGGAAGCUCCCCCUGCUAUCUGUGUUUAUCUUCAAUGGAGUUAUGGCCAUCCUCCUCCAGCUGGCUUACAUCUGGGACUGGAACAUGGUUCACACAGCAGCUGUCUGAUUUCUUGCCUCAGGUGUGGCCAAGCUGACAGCACUCUAGUGAAGCUGUGCAUGUUCCAGGGACAUUCCUGGAGAGGUGUCCUUCUCUGAUUCUGCCAGCACUCUCCUAUCUGCAAGAAACCUCCCUCUACUUAAAACAUUUAGAUUGUUUUCUGGUUGCUACCUUGA